GACGAACGCUGGCGGCGUGCCUAAUACAUGCAAGUAGAACGCACAGUUUAUACCGUAGCUUGCUACACCAUAGACUGUGAGUUGCGAACGGGUGAGUAACGCGUAGGUAACCUGCCUGGUAGCGGGGGAUAACUAUUGGAAACGAUAGCUAAUACCGCAUAAUAUUGAUUAUUGCAUGAUAAUUAAUUGAAAGGUGCAAUUGCACCACUACCAGAUGGACCUGCGUUGUAUUAGCUAGUAGGUGAGGUAACGGCUCACCUAGGCGACGAUACAUAGCCGACCUGAGAGGGUGAUCGGCCACACUGGGACUGAGACACGGCCCAGACUCCUACGGGAGGCAGCAGUAGGGAAUCUUCGGCAAUGGACGAAAGUCUGACCGAGCAGCGCCGCGUGAGUGAAGAAGGUUUUCGGAUCGUAAAGCUCUGUUGUAAGAGAAGAACGGGUGUGAGAGUGGAAAGUUCACACUGUGACGGUAUCUUACCAGAAAGGGACGGCUAACUACGUG
rnacentral:rRNA from 1 species